GGUGUUUCGAAAAUUUAUACUUCUUAGACAAAAUUUAUGAAAACUGUAGUUUACAACAGUAUUGCAACAUUCCAACAGCACUGUAAUAUCGUGGCAUGCAUUGCUUUGUUCAGUUUCUUAGCAGUUUUGAGAGAAGAAAGUGAAACCUGAUAGAAAUUAAGGUAUCCUCGCAAGACACUGCAAUACCAAGGUGUUUAUGACUACACUAUCUUUUUUUUUUAAUGUUCUGUUUUUCACUACAAUACAAACAAAAAAACAAACAAACAAAUAAAUAAAUAAAUAAAAGAUCGUCCACUCAAAACUCUUCACUGGCUCAAUAUUCUUUUCUAAAUUCAAAACAGAAUAUGAAAGAAACCUGCAUCACAACACAUCUUCCACAUAAAUAUGCGGAGAGUUGGGUAGAGCUUGCUAAAAGAACAAUGGUUCAUACAAAGAAAAAAAAAAGAAGAAGAAGAAAAAGGCCAGGUGACACUGGGUGGGAUUAUUUUCAAUAUCUCAAGUUGUUCUGAAUCAGUCUCACAUCAGCUAGAUAACAAUAUCUCAUAUAUAACAUGGUGUGAAUUAAAAGUACAUAUUUUUUAUUUUCAUUUAAGCUACUCUCUGUCCCAGAUCAUACCCUUCUUCCUUGCUUUUCUGGCAGCAACAUCAUAUAUUAGCAAGGCCCUUCUAUGGCAACAUUCAAUUUACACUGCUUGUGAACUUUGAGGUGAUUCUGAGGGCAGAAAUACAUUUGCUUGAAUUUUUUUUUUUUUUUCCUGAAUAGACCUUAUGUUACUGCAACAGAAUUAUAUCUCAGCAUAUUAUGAAAUUCAUGAAUUUUCAAGUUCAGUUUCCGGGACCUCUGAACUCACUAGAAAUACCUUCAGAGGCCUUUAUCCAAGAUAAUGCUGCAAGCGGGAUUUGUUUGGUCUGCGAGAGCAGAUGGAAGGAAGGGACGAAGCGCUGCGCGACGGCGGCCGGGAGAGGGGAGCCGAGACGGGAGAGAACGGCCCCGCGGGCGCCGAAGUCGCGCGGGAGGAGCUCCGGGCACACGGCAGCGGCUCCUGCGGCACGGGAGAGGCCCACGGAGGAGCGGGCCGUUCCUCCGCAGCACGCGGUGCUCGAAGGGUGGGCCCAGCGGAACCGAGCCGUGCUGGGGCGGUGCUGGGAGAGCUGCAGGCUGUGGGAAGGCCGCUGGGAAGGACGGGGUUGUGAGAGGGACCCACGUGGAGCAGGGGCAGAGUGACCGCGGAGGAGCGGCAGAGGCGAAGUCAGUUGCGGACUGAACGCAGUCCCUAUUCCGUGUUUCCUUGUAGAAGGAGAGGGCGGGUGGGGGGUGUUCUUUGUUUUUCGUUCUUACUAAUCCAGUGCGUUGUUAGCAAUAAAUUGCAUCAAUCUCCGUUAUGCA
rnacentral:lncRNA from 1 species